UUUGAAGGUUAUGACAAUUUAUGCCAUCAUCCGGGGUUACUAUUGGAGAAGAUUGCUGAUCAAAAUAAUAGAGAAGCAUGUACAUCAUCACAAAUAAAACAAAAAAAUUGUGAAGUGACGGUCAAUAAAAUUUUCAGGUACUAAUUAUUAUGUGUGUAAAUACAAUUGUAAAUAAUAUACCUAUUACGAAGGCACAUAUUUUACACGUUUUUGAAGC